GAUGAACGCUGGCGGCGUGCCUAAUACAUGCAAGUCGAGCGAACAGAUGAGGAGCUUGCUCCUCUGACGUUAGCGGCGGACGGGUGAGUAACACGUGGAUAACCUACCUAUAAGACUGGGAUAACUUCGGGAAACCGGAGCUAAUACCGGAUAAUAUAUUGAACCGCAUGGUACAAUAGUGAAAGACGGUUUUGCUGUCACUUAUAGAUGGAUCCGCGCCGCAUUAGCUAGUUGGUAAGGUAACGGCUUACCAAGGCGACGAUGCGUAGCCGACCUGAGAGGGUGAUCGGCCACACUGGAACUGAGACACGGUCCAGACUCCUACGGGAGGCAGCAGUAGGGAAUCUUCCGCAAUGGGCGAAAGCCUGACGGAGCAACGCCGCGUGAGUGAUGAAGGUCUUCGGAUCGUAAAACUCUGUUAUUAGGGAAGAACAAAUGUGUAAGUAACUAUGCACGUCUUGACGGUACCUAAUCAGAAAGCCACGGCUAACUACGUG
rnacentral:rRNA from 1 species